GACGAACGCUGGCGGCGUGCUUAGCACAUGCAAGUCGAACGGAAAGGCCCUGCUUUUGUGGGGUGCUCGAGUGGCGAACGGGUGAGUAACACGUGAGUAACCUGCCCUUGACUUUGGGAUAACUUCAGGAAACUGGGGCUAAUACCGGAUAGGAGCUCCUGCUGCAUGGUGGGGGUUGGAAAGUUUCGGCGGUUGGGGAUGGACUCGCGGCUUAUCAGCUUGUUGGUGGGGUAGUGGCUUACCAAGGCUUUGACGGGUAGCCGGCCUGAGAGGGUGACCGGCCACAUUGGGACUGAGAUACGGCCCAGACUCCUACGGGAGGCAGCAGUAGGGAAUAUUGCACAAUGGGCGGAAGCCUGAUGCAGCAACGCCGCGUGCGGGAUGACGGCCUUCGGGUUGUAAACCGCUUUCGCCUGUGACGAAGCGUGAGUGACGGUAAUGGGUAAAGAAGCACCGGCUAACUACGUG
rnacentral:rRNA from 1 species